AAACUGAAGAGUUUGAUCCUGGCUCAGAUUGAACGCUGGCGGCAUGCUUUACACAUGCAAGUCGAACGGCAGCGCGGGGCAAC
rnacentral:rRNA from 1 species